rnacentral:misc_RNA from 3 species
AACGCACAUUGCGCCCAUUAGUAUUCUAGUGGGCAUGCCUGUUCGAGCGUCAUUUCAACCCUUAAGCCUAGCUUAGUGUUGGGAGACUGCCUAAUACGCAGCUCCUCAAAACCAGUGGCGGAGUCGGUUCGUGCUCUGAGCGUAGUAAUUUUUUAUCUCGCUUCUGCAAGCCGGACUGGCAACAGCCAUAAACCGCACCCUUCGGGGGCACUUUUUAAUGGUUGACCUCGGAUCAGGUAGGAAUACCCGCUGAACUUAA